rnacentral:rRNA from 1 species
UACGUAGGGGGCAAGCGUUGUCCGGAUUUAUUGGGCGUAAAGAGCGUGUAGGCGGCCUGACAGGUCUGCUGUGAAAACUCGAGGCUCAACCUCGAGAUGUCGGCGGAAACCGUCUGGCUAGAGUCCGGAAGAGGAGAGUGGAAUUCCUGGUGUAGCGGUGGAAUGCGCAGAUAUCAGGAGGAACACCUAUAGCGAAGGCAGCUUGCUGGGACGUUACUGACGCUAAGGCGCGAAAGCGUGGGGAGCGAACAGG